rnacentral:rRNA from 1 species
CCCUUAGAUGUUCUGGGCCGCACGCGCGCUACACUGAUGCAUUCAACGAGUCUAAAACCUGGUCUGAUAGGGCUGGGUAAUCUUUUGAAAGUGCAUCGUGAUUGGGAUAGAUGAUUGCAAUUCUUCAUCUUCAACGAGGAAUGCCUAGUAAACGCAAGUCAUCAGCUUGCAUUGAUUACGUCCCUGCCCUUUGUACACACCGCCCGUCGCUCCUACCGAUUGAGUGGUCCGGUGAGGCUUUGGGAUCUGAGCGGAAAGAGCGUUUCGCUGUUUCUGCCCGGAAAACUCAGUCGAACCUUAUCAUUUAGAGGAAGGAGAAGUCGUAACA